rnacentral:ncRNA from 1 species
GUGUUGUAUGAAAGGAGAGCAGGUUAGCACUCCCCUUGACAAGGGUGGAAGAGGCCCUAGGGCCUGACAACACACACACGGCUUAGGCAUUGCCACCUACUUCGUGGCAUCUAACCAUUAUUUUAU